rnacentral:rRNA from 1 species
CCUACGGGUGGCAGCAGUGGGGAAUAUUGCACAAUGGGGGAAACCCUGAUGCAGCGACGCCGCGUGAGUGAAGAAGUAAUUCGUUACGUAAAGCUCUAUCAGCAGGGAAGAAAUACUGACCUUACGGUCAGCAGACGGUACCUGAGUAAGAAGCCCCGGCUAACUACGUGACAGCAGCCGCGGUAAUACGUAGGGGGCAAGCGUUAUCCGGAUUUACCGGGUGUAAAGGGAGCGUAGACGGUGCGCCAAGUCUGGAGUGAAAUGCCGCAGCUUAACUGCGGAACUGCUUUGGAAACUGGCGAACUAGAGUGCGGGAGGGGUAAGCGGAAUUCCUGGUGUAGCGGUGAAAUGCGUAGAUAUUAGGAAGAACACCGGUGGCGAAGGCGGCUUACUGGACCGUAACUGACGUUGAGGCUCGAAAGCAUGGGGAGCAAACAGGAUUAGAUACCCCGGUAGUC